rnacentral:rRNA from 1 species
AGUCGAACGCUGAAGCACCAGCUUGCUGGUGUGGAUGAGUGGCGAACGGGUGAGUAAUACGUGAGUAACCUGCCCUUGACUCUGGGAUAAGCCCGGGAAACUGGGUCUAAUACUGGAUGCUACAUGUCACCGCAUGGUGGUGUGUGGAAAGGGUUUACUGGUCUUGGAUGGGCUCACGGCCUAUCAGCUUGUUGGUGAGGUAAUGGCUCACCAAGGCGACGACGGGUAGCCGGCCUGAGAGGGUGACCGGCCACACUGGGACUGAGACACGGCCCAGACUCCUACGGGAGGCAGCAGUGGGGAAUAUUGCACAAUGGGCGAAAGCCUGAUGCAGCGACGCCGCGUGAGGGAUGACGGCCUUCGGGUUGUAAACCUCUUUCAGCAGGGAAGAAGCCACAAGUGACGGUACCUGCAGAAGAAGCGCCGGCUAACUACGUGCCAGCAGCCGCGGUAAUACGUAGGGCGCAAGCGUUGUCCGGAAUUAUUGGGCGUAAAGAGCUCGUAGGCGGUUUGUCGCGUCUGCUGUGAAAGCCCGGGGCUUAACCCCGGGUGUGCAGUGGGUACGGGCAGACUAGAGUGCAGUAGGGGAGACUGGAAUUCCUGGUGUAGCGGUGGAAUGCGCAGAUAUCAGGAGGAACACCGAUGGCGAAGGCAGGUCUCUGGGCUGUUACUGACGCUGAGGAGCGAAAGCAUGGGGAGCGAACAGGAUUAGAUACCCUGGUAGUCCAUGCCGUAAACGUUGGGCACUAGGUGUGGGGGACAUUCCACGUUUUCCGCGCCGUAGCUAACGCAUUAAGUGC